rnacentral:rRNA from 1 species
GACGAACGCUGGCGGCGUGCUUAACACAUGCAAGUCGAACGGAAAGGCCCUGCUUUUGUGGGGUGCUCGAGUGGCGAACGGGUGAGUAACACGUGAGUAACCUGCCCUUGACUUUGGGAUAACUUCAGGAAACUGGGGCUAAUACCGGAUAGGAGCUCCUGCUGCAUGGUGGGGGUUGGAAAGUUUCGGCGGUUGGGGAUGGACUCGCGGCUUAUCAGCUUGUUGGUGGGGUAGGGGCUUACCAAGGCUUUGACGGGUAGCCGGCCUGAGAGGGUGACCGGCCACAUUGGGCCUGAGAUACGGCCCAGAAUCCUACGGGCGGCAGCAGUGGGGAAUAUUGCACAAUGGGCGGAAGCCUGAUGCAGCAACGCCGCGUGCGGGAUGACGGCCUUCGGGUUGUAAACCGCUUUCGCCUGUGACGAAGCGUGAGUGACGGUAAUGGGUAAAGAAGCACCGGCUAACUACGUG